rnacentral:rRNA from 1 species
UGAGGAAUAUUGGUCAAUGGGCGAGAGCCUGAACCAGCCAUCCCGCGUGAAGGAAGAAGGCGCUAUGCGUUGUAAACUUCUUUUUCAGGGGGAUAAAAUAUUGUAUGAAUACGAUACUGAAGGUACCCUGAGAAUAAGCAUCGGCUAACUCCGUGCCAGCAGCCGCGGUAAUACGGAGGAUGCGAGCGUUAUCCGGAUUUAUUGGGUUUAAAGGGUGCGUAGGCGGAAUAAUAAGUCAGUGGUGAAACCCUGCAGCUUAACUGUAGACUUGCCAUUGAUACUGUUUUUCUUAAGUAUGGUCAAGGCAGGCGGAAUGUGUAAUGUAGCGGUGAAAUGCUUAGAUAUUACACAGAACACCGAUAGCGAAGGCAGCUUGCUGGGCCGUUACUGACGCUGAUGCACGAAAGCGUGGGGAUCGAACAG